rnacentral:rRNA from 1 species
GUGUCAGCCGCCGCGGUAAUACAGAGGUGGCAAGCGUUGUUCGGAAUUACUGGGCGUAAAGGGCGCGUAGGCGGCCCGUCAAGUCCCGUGUGAAAGCCCCCGGCUCAACCGGGGAACUGCACGGGAAACUAGCAGGCUUGAGUUCGGGAGAGGGAAGCGGAAUUUCGGGUGUAGCGGUGAAAUGCGCAGAUAUCCGAAGGAACACCGGUGGCGAAGGCGGCUUCCUGGACCGACACUGACGCUGAGGCGCGAAAGCUAGGGGAGCAAACGGGAUUAGAUACCCCCGUAGUCC